CUGGAUUCCCUCGCUGAAGUAGUCUGGGAAAUCUCACGGAACAUGGCUGUCAUGCAGGGAAACAUGAUCGUGAUGCAGGGGAACAUCUCCUCCAUCCAUACCUACAUCACCGGCGCCCAGAACUCACCGCAGCCACCGCUGCCUGCCUCCACCCCCAUGGCACUGCCGCCCAGCCCAUCUGUGCCACCGCCCACCACAUCUCUCCCAACAUCCACCGCUGCCGCAUCCUCCAUGGCUGGGGCUACGCCUGGCGUACCGCUGCACUUGAUGCAGUGGCCCGAAUCACCGUCGCAAGUCCCAUCAUAUAUGCUGCAGCCGUCGAUCUACUCUACUCCGGCGACCAUCACGUCGUCAGUGGUGCAGUCUGAAGCCCCCCACGCGCCGGCCUCUGGGGGGUCUUCUACGGAGGCGUCGAGGGAGUCCUCUUCUAUGAACCCAUGA
rnacentral:misc_RNA from 1 species